rnacentral:tRNA from 1 species
GCCAGUUUAGCUCAAUGGUUAGAGCACCAGACUCUUAAUCUGGGGGUUGUGGGUUCGAGUCCCACAAUUGGUA